GACGAACCGUGCGAACGUUAUUCGGAAUCACUGGGCUUAAAGCGCGUGUAGGCGGGACGGCACGUCGGUCGCUGAAAUCCCCCGGCUUAACCGGGGAACGGGCGCCGAUACGACCGUCCUGGAGGAACGUAGGGGGAGCGGGAACUUCCGGUGGAGCGGUGAAAUGCGUUGAGAUCGGAAGGAACGCCCGUGGCGAAAGCGCGCUCCUGGACGUUUACUGACGCUGAGACGCGAAAGCCAGGGGAGCGAACGGG
rnacentral:rRNA from 1 species